UUCGCUAAGGCUAGUAUUACCUUAGCGAACAUCUGUCGCUUGUCGCA
rnacentral:ncRNA from 12 species